rnacentral:rRNA from 1 species
ACUAGGUCUUUGCAUCUUCAAUGAUUCAUCCCGGGAGCCAUAUGAUCUGUCAGAUGAUGACACUAAUUUGCAGAAGAAGUUCACACGUCUAAGGGAUCAUGCAGCUGCACUGCGAAACUACUGUAUAAUCCUGACCUUUCUUUCUUUUGUCUUCACAAGGUUGAAAGCGCUCUUGGUUCUGCUGAAAAGCUUGUGAGAGCAUCACCUGAUGAGCUGUUCCACUACUAGGGUGAUCUUGUUCAAGCACUGGUACAUGUUCGUUGUUCUGAUGUCGUGAUAGAAGGUGAGGAAGAUUUUGCGGAAGAAAAGCGACAGAAGGCAUUAGUCGCCUUGCUGGUAACCAGCCCAUUUGAAUCAUUUUUGCUUUGCAUUUUCUUCAGGAUUUGGUACAUGUGUAUUUUCACAUAAUUUUUAACAAACCAAUUCAUAGAUUCGUUGUAUAUGAAUAACCGACCAAACAAAGACCGGUGAUAAUCAGCGUCAUCCCGGACCUAACGAACAUUUUAGUCUGAAUUUAUCUAACACUAUGGGAAUAGGGUAAAUGAUAACCAAAAGUUAGAAAUCUGACAUUAUGAUUGAUCAUACUAUCUGUAAUCCAUACUCUUCUGCUUUAUGGGAGUUAGUCUGUCGAUCAUCAUGACCAACUGAAAAUAAUUAAACCGGUAGAUCCCGACCUCAAAUGGCGCGAGUGCUCUAUGAAAGCAUGGGAUUUACCCCGCUAAUGUACUUGUAUUAGGACGUUCUCUACACGUUCGGAAUAGAUUAUCAAGAAAAUUUAUCUAAAGUCUGAUCAAAUUCAUUUAGAUUCAGUUUAAUUAUAGUGUCUGUUCAUUUUUUACAUUGAUUUUAUCAUAUUAUAAAAUUGUCAUACCAUAUAGUUCUUAAAACUGCAUAUGUUUUCCUGCUGCAAGUGCCACUGUUGUCACAAUGCUGCAAAGAGACGGUGCAUGGAUGCAUUUUUUAACUCUCAUGAGUGCUUGUAGAAGAAGAAUUGUACAAUGCGGAAAGAUGUUAUUUGCAUCUGCAAAGAGGGAUCAUAUUUGUAGAUUGAUUCCAUAAGAAUCAGGUCACUCCUUGACUAAUUCGAUCUUGAAUCAUUUGCAUUUUUUUAACAUGGUUGGAGAUGUCGUGUAGCAGGAGCAGGAGCUAAUGGACAGUCAGUGAGCCCCAAGGGCGGUGGCCCCUGCAACAUGAAGAAGACCAUCCAGACAAAGGGGAGGUACACGGAUAGCCAAGGAUGCAAGGAGACGUGCAGGUCUGCGUUUCAGAGUUAUCUCUUUCAGCACCAGCGAUUAAAUGGUCCGUAGCUGGUCAGGCGUGCUUGCAUAAAAUGUACUUUGUUAGUUGCUAGAGCCAUGCUAGCUUUGUAUGUUGUUCUUGCAGCCUCAACUAGCUAAUUCUAUUUAAAGCUAAUGUUGUUCUAUCCUUCCAAUUACUGUUGUUAUUCAGAUUUUUUUCUUUUUUUGUUGUCAUUCAGAGUACAAAUGUUAUGAGAAUUUCAGGAUUUUUGUCAUAUCUCCCAAUUACCUUAAUUUUGUAAGUUGUGUUCUAAUUCAAUUUUGAUUUCCUUUCACAAUAGCCUACUUUAAAGCUGUGUGAAUCCAUUAUUUUCCUUUUGAGUUUGCUGUAGAGCAGUGGAGGCGAGUUGGGAACCUUUUUUUUUAACUUGGUGGAUGUACUGUUGUAGCGAUGGAGAUUUGCCUGAAUGUUGCUUUCCUCCGCGUGAAGUGCCUAGAAUUCUCGAAGGCGUCAACAAGACCCGAAGGAGAUUGACAAAGUGUAGAUUGACAAGGUUUGGUUGCAUCAACGAAUUGAUUUAAGACAAGAUAACAAUGGGAACCAUUGUCCUAAAGUCAGCUGGAUCAUCAAAGUUCUCUGUGCAGCAAAGCCUGAUAGGCGUGUUGGAUGUUGCUGCAUGUCUCAGCCAACAGAGUGAUGAUACUGCUGUUGGAUCUCCAGCAACAUGCUACCAUAGCUCUUCGGGAAGCAAAAAGCUGAGAAUUGGCAGAUGACCGAUCUCAUGUUGUGAUGUGCUUUAGGUGUGUUGCUCACCGUUCUGGCUGUUUUGUUGUUUCAAACAUCUCAAUUUAGUUUGGUCAUUCGAGAACUAUAGCGUGGUCAAGUGUAUUGACUUUGUCGUUCAGCUCUCCGCUUGAGAUUAUUUUAGUUCUGAUUUACUUUCAUUUACUUUGUUUUGCAAGUAGCAUGUCCUUAGCGUGCCACCGUGUCAGUACAAUGCCAGUUUUUGUGUUUCAUAUAAUGCUUAAUUACAGUUGAUUGUACCUUUAUUUCUAAACAAACAAAAUCAACUGUAAUUUUG